GUUUGCGAUACAUAUAUGUAUCGAAAAUGAGUGUAAAACUAUAUUUUCUGACAUGAAUGUAUCGAUUGAAGAGUGCAUUACUGCAUCGAUUUUUUUGAUGCAAUCUUGCUCUCUUCGCUCGACGAUGUAAUUAGGGUAUGCAUUUGCUUUCAACUGUGUGAGAAAAAUAGCCGUUUUAGGUGAGAGGAGAUCUGCUGUGCCAUCGCCCCCCUCCCCACCGCCUUCUAACGGUACUUUCUCACCUCCAUCUCCGACCAAGGCAUGGUCGCCGGUGGUCGGCGAUCAGUAUCUUGUGUUUUUUUCUGACUUGUGUUUUGCUAUGUUCAUUUUUCAUGUCGUUUGGUUGCGGGGUUCCUGCCAAUCUGAUAGGAGGUUGAAGAUCUUCACUUCGAUCUACACAAGACCUAGCCAAGUUUACACAUCUUUCGCUCUGUCUUCAACAAUCAAUGUGUAGGAUGAAAAAAUCUUAUGUUGUGUUCAAGGGGAGAAAGCCAGGUGUGUAUGACUCAUGGCCCGAGUGUCAAAAGCAAGUUGCUGGGUUCAGAGGGAAUUCUUAUUGUUCAUAUAACAGUUGAGAAGAAACUGAAGAUGUAUACUAUAAGUAUUGUGAAGUACAACUAGAUACAACAUAUUCCUUUGAGAAGUUGGUUGUAGAGCCAUCCACAUCAACAAUUAGGCCAUAUCUGAUAGGAGGCAUCAUUGGAUUCUUUACUGGGAUUGUGGCAUGGGGGUUGUUUAAUUAGCCAAAUCAUUUGGAAUGUUAUGGAGAGA